AUGUAUUGGCUCUCUGAAUCUUAGUUAGUCCCGAAGUCUGAACCUUCAGAGAUCUGUCCAGUGCAACUUCUACCCGGCAUCUUGCAGACUGAGGGAAAAAAAUGUUUUCUACAAUGAAUCAACUAAGUGUAGUAAUGGCGUUAUUACGUUUUGCUUCCGGAAAAAUAGUCCAAGGAACUAUGUAGAAGAUAAAUUGGAUUGUGUCAAGAGUUGAGUUAAACUACUCCAUGGUAUUACUGCUUUGGUGUCCAUUUUGUUUGGCCAAGAAACCUGCAGUGACUUUAAACUGACACUAGCCCCCUCAUUCAAGCACAUGCCCUAAACAGCAGCCUGCAGAGUCACAAGCAAAUGAGAUAGUGUCGGGGAAGCUGCUGCCAGCAGAGGAGGCCAAAACAAAAGCACGAGCCUACACUGAUGCACUGAAAAUGACAAAUUCACCAAAACACACAACCCCAAUUUUGGAGGACAGGUUUUUACUCUCCAUUCUUUUCUUUCUUUAAAUUGAAACAUUGUUGAUUUACAAUGUUGUGUUAGUUGCACGUGUACAGCAAAGUGAUUCAGUUAUACAUAUAUUCAUUCUUUUUCAGAUUCUUUACCCAUAUAGGUUAUUACAGAAUAUUGAGUAGAGUUCCCUGUUCUAUAAAGUAGGUCCUUGUUGGUUAUCUAUUUUAUAUAUAGUACUGUGUGUAUUUUAAUCCCAAGCUCCUUAUUUAUUCCUCCCUACUACAUUUCCCCUUUGGUAACCAUAAGUCUGUUUUUGAAAUCAGUGAACCUGUUUCUGUUUUGUAAAUAAGUUCAUUAAUAUCAUUUUCUAAAAUUAGAUUCCACAUAUGAGUAAUAUAUGAUGUUUGUCUUCCUCUGUCUUACUUAUUUCACCUAGUAUGAUAAUCUCUAGGUCUAUUCAUGUUGCUGCAAAUGGCAUUGUUUUGUUCCUUUUUAUGGCUGAGUAAUAUUCCAUUGAACUAUGUACUACAUCUUUUUUAUCCAUUUAUCUGUCAAUGGGCAUUUAGUUGUUUCCAUGUCUUGGCUAUUGUAAAUAGUGCUGCAAUGAACAUUGGGGUGCAUGUGUCUUUUUGAAUAAUGCUUUUCUGCAGAUAUAUGCCCAGGAGUGGGAUUGCUGGAUCAUAUGGUAGCUCUAUUUUUAGUUUCUUAAGGAACCUCCAUACUGUUCUCCAUAGUGGUUGUACCAAUUUACAUUCCCACCAACAGUGUAGGAGGGUUCUCUUUUCUCCACACCCUUUCCAGCAUUUAUUGUCUGCAGACUUUUUGA